rnacentral:tRNA from 1 species
GAGGUUAUAGCUCAGGGGUAGAGCACAUGGUUGGCAUGCAUGAGGUCCUGGGUUCAAUCCUCAGUGCCUCU